rnacentral:rRNA from 1 species
UUUUAUUUGAGAGUUUGAUCCUGGCUCAGGAUGAACGCUGGCGGCGUGCCUAACACAUGCAAGUUGAGCGAUUUACUUCGGUAAAGAGCGGCGGACGGGUGAGUAACGCGUGGGUAACCUACCCUGUACACACGGAUAACAUACCGAAAGGUAUGCUAAUACGGGAUAAUAUAUUUGAGAGGCAUCUCUUAAAUAUCAAAGGUGAGCCAGUACAGGAUGGACCCGCGUCUGAUUAGCUAGUUGGUAAGGUAACGGCUUACCAAGGCGACGAUCAGUAGCCGACCUGAGAGGGUGAUC